rnacentral:rRNA from 1 species
UACGUAGGGGGCAAGCGUUGUCCGGAAUCAUUGGGCGUAAAGAGCGUGUAGGCGGUCCGGUCAGUCGGUUGUGAAAGUCAAGGGCUCAACCCUUGAAUGCCGGCCGAUACUGCCGGGCUAGAGUCCGGAAGAGGUGAGUGGAAUUCCCGGUGUAGCGGUGAAAUGCGCAGAUAUCGGGAGGAACACCAAUGGCGAAGGCAGCUCGCUGGGACGGUACUGACGCUGAGACGCGAAAGCGUGGGGAGCAAACAGG